rfam:Candidatus Burkholderia humilis strain TZHbot5 BHTMctg7, whole genome shotgun sequence.
AAAGUUCUUUACGAUGAAGAACUAGCGAUUCACAUCGACCCCGAGUCAUGCGGUGGCACUCGCGAGGGUGUCACCGAAGCGUUUCCGUUCGCUGGGCCUGCCGUCGGUCGGUCCAGCGCCAAUUAACUGAUCCGAACCGCCGUGUACGGACCCGUACGCACGGUGGUGUGGGAGGGGC